rnacentral:rRNA from 1 species
GAUGAACGCUGGCGGCGUGCCUAAUACAUGCAAGUCGAGCGGACGGACGCGAAGCUUGUGUCUCUGAUGUUAGCGGCGGACGGGAGAGUCACACGUGUAAAACCUCCCUGUAAUACUGGGAUAACUUCGGGAAACCGUAGCUAAUACCGGAUAAUAUUUUGAAGCGCAUGGGUGAAAAGUGAAAGACGGUCUUUCUGUCACUUAUCGAUGGAUACGCGCUGGAUUGGCUAGUUGGUAAGGUAAAGGGUUUCCAAGGCAGCGAUGCGUAGCCGACGGCAGAGGGUGGUCGGCCACAUGGGAACGUGACCACGCACCAUGCGCCUACGGGAGGGAGCAGUAGGGAAUCUUCGGCAAUGGGCGAAAGCCUGACGGAGCAGCGCCGAGUGAGUGAUGAAGGUCUCCGGUUCGGAAAACUCUGUUAUGAGUUAUGAACAUAUGUGGAAGGAGAUGUGGACAGAGUGACGGUACCUAAUAAAAAAGCAACGGCUAACUACGUG